CUUCCUGGUAAGCUGCAUCAAGCUUUUUGUUACCAUUUGGUGUGCUCGCCCAAACAUUGUACUUGAUGCUUUUAUGAACAUCAUCCUCGCUGUAUGAUUUAAUAACAAAGAACUUGGCAUCGUCAUAAUCCACAAGGAAUUCUUCUAGGUUAUACUGUUCACGGUCUGGAACAACAUAUGCCUUUUCCUCAUCCUUGGUUCCAUCUGAGGGAAUAUUUUGCCCCUUAGUAGAUGCUGUGAUAGGUGUUGCACCCUUUUGGUUCUUAGGCCCCUUAGCCCUAGGUCCCCUGUUCAAUUCAUUAAAACCGUCCAUGAUAUCAUUGCCUGAACCAAAAUAACCAUUGCCCCGUCCCCUUGGUCUGUACUUGUUGUCUGCCAACCAACCCCUUUCAUUUGUUCGCAAAUCAUAACCAUUAGAUCCAAAGCCCA
rnacentral:lncRNA from 1 species